CCCUUAGAUGUUCUGGGUCGCACGCGCGCUACACUGAUGCAUUCAACGAGUUCUUCCUGGUCCGAGAGGAAUGGGUAACCUUUUGAAAGUGCAUCGUGCUAGGGAUAGACUAUUGCAAUUAUUGGUCUUCAACGAGGAAUUCCUAGUAGACGUAGUUCAUCAGACUGCAUCGAUUACGUCCCUGCCCUUUGUACACACCGCCCGUCGCUCCUACCGAUUGGAUGAUCCGGUGAGCUAUUCGGACCUGUGCAUUUUCCAUUGGAACUUGCGUGGGAAAGUCUCGCGAACCUUAUCAUCUAGAGGAAGGAGAAGUCGUAACA
rnacentral:rRNA from 1 species